ensembl:lncRNA
GGAAUUUAGUUUGUUUUUCUAAGUAUAUUUUGUGAUAAAUUUUUAAAUAUUUGGGCUGAAAUUUUAUAUUGAAUUAGCACACAGACUGUAGGAAAAACUCUAGGGUAAUUUUGAUAAUUGAUGCAGAGGAAUGAAGUUUAACUUCCUGGCAGAGCAUCUUUCUGUUCAUUUCAUUUCACUUUAAUCCAAUUAAAAAUAUACAUACUAGUCUCCACCCUUGAACAUUAAUGGAUUGACUCAUUUUUUCAGGUACCUGUCAUGUACGGGGCACUGGAGAUACGAAACUAAUUAGGAUUGUUUGUCUGAUCUAAAUAAGGAGUAUUCUUCUAGACAGAUAGAGGAGGGAGAAAGAGAGGUAGACAGAGAGAGAGACACACGGGGAGAGGCUGAGAGAAGGAGAGAGAACGUGGGGCUUAGAGCAGGAGAGUAGUCUGGAAGAUGCUGUAACUCAGCACAGACUUGUUUGAAGAGAAGUCAAGACAGAUUUUAGCAUGGGAAACUCUUGACAGCAUCCAGGGAUAGCAUCAGUGCAGUGAUUUUUCUUGAGUACACAUUUAUACAAGAAGGAGAGAGACAUCAUGGGCCGAUGAACCAAUUUCUACAGAGACCAGUAGGCGUGAAGCAGCAUGAUAAACCCAGCGAGUACAAGUCUAGUGUGAGGCUGGAAUUAAGAUUCACGGAGGUCAGCUGUGGGGGGUGUGAGAUUGGAGGGGACAGACAGGGAUUGUGUUACAAAAAGAUUUGUAUGCCAUGAAAAGUAAUUUAGUUCCAUCUUGUAGGCAACAGAUCGUGGAUGUGUCUUAAGUUACAGAAGAUUCUAACCAGACUUUCAUAGAAGGAUUCUUCCUGUUGUGGUGGCAUCGGUGGAUAGUUCUUUUCUAAGAGUUCUGCUACAAAUGGAAGACUGAAAACUACCUGGGAGAAAUUAAAAAACAAGCAAACACAUGAACAAAAGUCCAUGCAUCAGGGGAAACAUGCCACCAUCACCUCUCGGGCGUGAACUCCUCUGCUUCACUCCGUCAGUUCCAACCCGGCUCACUCUUUGGAUUCUUAGAGCAUCAAACAGCCAGGAGCAACCCCGCCUGUGCCUGCAGACUUUGGGGCUUGUUGGUUCCUGUAUCGGGAGCGUGCUCUCCCUUCUUUCAAGUUUUUUCUCAUCACCUUCUUGGUAAGUUCCCUUCUGAUUAUGUCAUUAAGAUUACAACCCACCCUCCGCACUCCGUGGCCUGCCUUUGCUUUAUCUUUCUACUUAGUGUGAAUUGCCGCCUGAAACAUGAGGUGUUUUUUCGACUCAGUACUUACAUCCUUCUCCUCCCAAAGCUGGAAUUAAGAUCCAUGAAGGCGGGGGCUCUGUCUGUUUUGUUCAUGUUGCCCUCCCUGCACUGAGAACAGUACAGGCACAGGAAGGACUGCCAAUCAUUGUGUGUUGGGUUAAUGAAUGAAACAAUAAAUAAAUGAAUACCAAGCCAAAAUAGAAAAAUUCUUAAAAUGGUCAGUUUAAUUUUCGUUGCUUCUGCCUCACAAAUUAAGUCAGGAAAACAUGGCUACGUGUUGUCGUGGUUUUCAUAUUGCUCCCUAGAACUUUUGAAAAUGUCAAAGCUAUGAAGAUAGCAGUGGUGCUUGGGCAGUAACGGACCCUACGUGAAUUUGACAGGUUUAAUAUUUUAAAUGUUAACAGGCAAAGAUACCACCUGGAGGGUGAAAUAAUAAUUGCUAUGAUUCUCAUAUUUCAAGUUGUUUUAUUUUAUUUAUAAAAUGAAACAGUAACUUCAGUUCAGAAGACCCAUGUUUUUCUAUUUCACCAAGAUCCUUCAAAGUUCUGUUGAAAAACAACCAAUCAAAUAAAGUAUGAAUUUUUAGCAAAAGCACCCAUGUCAUUUUACAAAAUUUAUUUUAUUAGUUCAUCAGCGCAUGAGAGGUGACUGUCAUUUUGCAUAAGCUCGUUAUUACGAGUAGAAACUACUCAGCUUCAGCAUCAGAAUGGCUCUCUCAGGGACACUUAGAGCUGCGAUAUCUCAUCCUGAUGGAUUUCCAAGCACGAGCCUUGAAACAAUCAUGCAUUUCCCAGUUGCAAUUAAACUGGGUUCUCUACAGAAACUAAGGAAGAAACAGCAUUGAGGAUGUUACCUACAUGUAGGGACAUACAUUGUUCUGUACCGAAAUGAACACUAAGAGACUGGAGACCAAUUUUAGUGGCCUUAUUGCACCACUUCUUAGUUUCUUAUUUUUCGAUAUGUUAAUUAAUGGUUUUGAACUCAGUUUCCAAAACAGGGAUAUUAAGAAUUAGCCCAUGUGAAGCUCAGGGGAUGGGCUCAAAGAUUCCUUAAGGUACAGUUUACCUCUAAGUUCCCCUCAGCUUUUCAUUCUCCAGGAAGCCCUUCUUUCUCUCCUGUUGUCUGCACAUGUGUGUCAGGAUCCAUGGAGAAGACACAUGGCAGUAGGGGACCUUGUCCACCUCACAGGUUGUCCCCUGAGUCACUGGCGUUGGAGUUAUUGAGGGUCAAACAUCUGGUUCUAUUUUCUUACAAGACUUGACUAAGGGAACUGUCUUUUAGAAGGCCCAAGCUCAUUGCUUGAAACCAAAACAGUUAAAUAAGCUGAUUUAUAUGAUGUAAAUUAUUUUAUCCUCUGUAUCUUAAAGUAUAAUGUUAGAAUUGAUUUGUUGGCUGGGUGGGGUGGCAUGCCUCUGUAAUUGCAACACUUCAGGAGGUUGAGGCAGGAGGAUCAUGGGAGCCCAGGAAGUCGAGGUUGCAGGGAGCUGUGUUCAUGUCACUGCACUCCAGCCUGGGCCACAGAGUGAGACCCUGUCUCUCUCUCUCUCUCCCUCUUUCUACAUACAUAUAUGAAUUAUGUAUAUGUAAAUUAUAUAUUUGUUGAGGAAAUAAAUAAAUUCCAGUUCUCAGAAGACAGCAUUCUUUCUAAAGCAGUUUUUCUGAGGAAAUCACUUUUUCACGCAGUUGAAAUAUAGUGUUUAAUUCCUGUGCU